rnacentral:rRNA from 1 species
UACGUAGGGUGCAAGCGUUGUCCGGAAUUAUUGGGCGUAAAGGGCUCGUAGGCGGUUUGUCGCGUCGGGAGUGAAAACACCGGGCUUAACUCGGUGCUUGCUUUCGAUACGGGCAGACUGGAGGUAUGCAGGGGAGAACGGAAUUCCUGGUGUAGCGGUGAAAUGCGCAGAUAUCAGGAGGAACACCGGUGGCGAAGGCGGGUCUCUGGGCCGAUACUGACGCUGAGGAGCGAAAGCGUGGGGAGCGAACAGG